GACGAACGCUGGCGGCGUGCUUAACACAUGCAAGUCGAACGGAGUGGCGAACGGGUGAGUAACACGUGGGUGAUCUGCCUUGCACUCUGGGAUAAGCUUGGGAAACUGGGUCUAAUACCGGAUAGUGCAAGAUGAGCUCGCGGCCUAUCAGCUUGUUGGUGGGGUAAUGGCCUACCAAGGCGUCGACGGGUAGCCGGCCUGAGAGGGUGUACGGCGACAUUGGGACUUAGAGACGGCACAGACGCCUACGUUAGGAAGAAGGGGGGAAGAUUGCACCAUGGGCGGAAGGCUGAUGAAGCGAGGCCGCGUGGGGGAGGACGGUUUUCGGGGUGUGAACUCCUUUCGACAGGGACGCGGUACCUGUAUAAGAAGCACCGGCUAACUACGUGCCAGCAGCCGCGGUAAUUC
rnacentral:rRNA from 1 species